GAUGAACGCUAGCGGCAGGCUUAACACAUGCAAGUCGAGGGGUAGAGGAAGCUUGCUUCCUUGAGACCGGCGCACGGGUGCGUAACGCGUAUACAAUCUACCUUUUACAGAGGGAUAGCCCAGAGAAAUUUGGAUUAAUACCUCAUAGUAUUUUCGAAUCGCAUGGUUUGAUUAUUAAAGUUCCAACGGUAAAAGAUGAGUAUGCGUCCCAUUAGCUAGAUGGUAAGGUAACGGCUUACCAUGGCAAUGAUGGGUAGGGGUCCUGAGAGGGAGAUCCCCCACACUGGUACUGAGACACGGACCAGACUCCUACGGGAGGCAGCAGUGAGGAAUAUUGGACAAUGGGCGCAAGCCUGAUCCAGCCAUGCCGCGUGCAGGAAGACGGUCCUAUGGAUUGUAAACUGCUUUUAUACAGGAGAAACACUCCCUCGUGAGGGAACUUGACGGUACUGUAUGAAUAAGCAUCGGCUAACUCCGUNCCAGCAGCCGACGG
rnacentral:rRNA from 1 species